GCCAGCAGCCGCGGUAAUACGGAGGGUGCAAGCGUUGUUCGGAUUUAUUGGGCGUAAAGCGCGUGUAGGCGGUUUCUUAAGUCUGAUGUGAAAGCCCUGGGCUCAACCCAGGAAGUGCAUUGGAUACCGGGAGACUUGAAUACGGGAGAGGGUAGUGGAAUUCCUAGUGUAGGAGUGAAAUCCGUAGAUAUUAGGAGGAACACCGGUGGCGAAGGCGGCUACCUGGACCGAUAUUGACGCUGAGACGCGAAAGCGUGGGGAGCAAACAGGAUUAGAUACCCUGGUAGUCCACGCCGUAAACGAUGAGAACUAGGUGUCGCGGGUA
rnacentral:rRNA from 1 species